AUUAAACGCUGGCGGCAUGCCUUACACAUGCAAGUCGAACGGUAACGGGCCUUCGGGUGCCGACGAGUGGCGAACGGGUGAGUAAUGCAUCGGAACGUACCUUUCAGUGGGGGAUAACGUAGCGAAAGUUACGCUAAUACCGCAUAUUCUGUGAGCAGGAAAGCAGGGGAUCGCAAGACCUUGCGCUGAUUGAGCGGCCGAUGUCAGAUUAGCUAGUUGGUGAGGUAAAGGCUCACCAAGGCGACGAUCUGUAGCGGGUCUGAGAGGAUGAUCCGCCACACUGGAACUGAGACACGGUCCAGACUCCUACGGGAGGCAGCAGUGGGGAAUUUUGGACAAUGGGGGCAACCCUGAUCCAGCCAUGCCGCGUGAGUGAAGAAGGCCUUCGGGUUGUAAAGCUCUUUCGGCCGGGAAGAAAUCGUAUGGGUUAAUACCCUGUGCGGAUGACGGUACCGGCAUAAGAAGCACCGGCUAACUACGUG
rnacentral:rRNA from 1 species